rnacentral:tRNA from 1 species
AACCAAGGCCCGGAGGCGGUUUUGUCUUGAAAACAGAAUACAUAGUGUUCGACUCACUGGUUGGUUU